UGGGGAAUAUUGCACAAUGGGCGCAAGCCUGAUGCAGCCAUGCCGCGUGUGUGAAGAAGGCCUUCGGGUUGUAAAGCACUUUCAGCGGGGAGGAAGGCGAUAGGGCUAAUAAGCCUAGCGAUUGACGUUACCCGCAGAAGAAGCACCGGCUAACUCCGUGCCAGCAGCCGCGGUAAUACGGAGGGUGCAAGCGUUAAUCGGAAUUACUGGGCGUAAAGCGCACGUAGGCGGUCUGUUAAGUCGGAUGUGAAAUCCCCGGGCUCAACCUGGGAACUGCAUUCGAAACUGGAAGGCUAGGGUCCUGUAGAGGGGGGUGGAAUUCCCGGUGUAGCGGUGAAAUGCGUAGAGAUCGGGAGGAAUACCGGUGGCGAAGGCGGCCCCCUGGACAAAUACUGACGCUCAGGUGCGAAAGCGUGGGGAGCAAACAGG
rnacentral:rRNA from 1 species